rnacentral:rRNA from 1 species
AUUCCAGCUCCAAUAGCGUAUAUUAAAGUUGUUGCGGUAAAAAAGCUCGUAGUUGGAUUUCUGUUGAGGGCGACCGGUCCAUACAACGUAUGCGUAUCUGGCUCGGCCUCGGCAUCCUCUCGAUAGACGUUUCUGCGCUUGAUUGCGUGGAGCGGAUCUCGGGACUUUUACUUUGAGGAAAUUAGAGUGUUCACGGCAGGCUAUCGCCAGAAUACAUUAGCAUGGAAUAAUACUAUAGGAUCUUGAUUCUAUUUUGUUGGUUUCUAGAAUUGAGAUAAUGAUUAAUAGGGACAAUUGGGGGCAUUCGUAUCAACACGUCAGAGGUGGAAUUCUUGGAUUGUGUUGCGACGAACUACUGCGAAAGCAUUUGCCAAGGAUGUUUUCAUUA